UGGGGAAUAUUGCACAAUGGGCACAAGCCUGAUGCAGCCAUGCCGCGUGUAUGAAGAAGGCCUUCGGGUUGUAAAGUACUUUCAGCGAGGAGGAAGGCGUUGUGGUUAAUAACCGCAGCGAUUGACGUUACUCGCAGAAGAAGCACCGGCUAACUCCGUGCCAGCAGCCGCGGUAAUACGGAGGGUGCAAGCGUUAAUCGGAAUUACUGGGCGUAAAGCGCACGCAGGCGGUCUGUCAAGUCGGAUGUGAAAUCCCCGGGCUCAACCUGGGAACUGCAUCCGAAACUGGCAGGCUAGAGUCUUGUAGAGGGGGGUAGAAUUCCAGGUGUAGCGGUGAAAUGCGUAGAGAUCUGGAGGAAUACCGGUGGCGAAGGCGGCCCCCUGGACAAAGACUGACGCUCAGGUGCGAAAGCGUGGGGAGCAAACA
rnacentral:rRNA from 1 species